rnacentral:rRNA from 1 species
GAUGAACGCUGGCGGCGUGCUUAACACAUGCAAGUCGAACGAAGCAUUUAAGACAGAUUACUUCGGUUUGAAGUCUUUUAUGACUGAGUGGCGGACGGGUGAGUAACGCGUGGGUAACCUGCCUCAUACAGGGGGAUAGCAGCUGGAAACGGCUGGUAAUACCGCAUAAGCGCACAGUACCACAUGGUACAGUGUGAAAAACUCCGGUGGUAUGAGAUGGACCCGCGUCCGAUUAGCUAGUUGGUGAGGUAACGGCCCACCAAGGCGACGAUCGUAGCCGGACUGAGAGGUUGAACGGCCACAUUGGGACUGAGACACGGCCCAGACUCCUACGGGAGGCAGCAGUGGGGAAUAUUGCACAAUGGGGGAAA